GCACUUUCAGUGUCCGAGUUGUAAUUUGAAGAAGGUAUCUUUGGGUCUGGCUCUUGUCUAUGUUUCUUGGAACAGAACGUCACAGAGGGUGAGAAUCCCGUGCGAUGAGAUGUCCCAGACCUAUGUAAAGUUCCUUCGAAGAGUCGAGUUGUUUGGGAAUGCAGCUCUAAGUGGGUGGUAAAUUCCAUCUAAAGCUAAAUAUUGGCGAGAGACCGAUAGCGAACAAGUACAGUGAUGGAAAGAUGAAAAGAACUUUGAAAAGAGAGUGAAAAAGUACGUGAAAUUGUUGAAAGGGAAGGGCUUGAGAUCAGACUUGGUAUUUUGUAUGUUACUCUCUCGGGGGUGGCCUCUACAGUUUACCGGGCCAGCAUCAGUUUGAGCGGUAGGAUAAGUGCAAAGAAAUGUGGCACUGCUUCGGUAGUGUGUUAUAGUCUUUGUCGAUACUGCCAGCUUAGACUGAGGACUGCGGCUUCGGCCUAGGAUGUUGGCAUAAUGAUCUUAAGUCGCCCGUCUUG
rnacentral:rRNA from 1 species